UUGGAUGAGUGGCGAACGGGUGAGUAACACGUGAGUAACCUGCCCUCUUCUUUGGGAUAACGGUCGGAAACGGCUGCUAAUACCGGGUAUUCACUGUCCUUCGCAUGGGGGGUGGGUGGAAAGGUUUUUUCUUGGUGGGGGGAUGGGCUCGCGGCCUAUCAGCUUGUUGGUGGGGUGAUGGCUUACCAAGGCUUUGACGGGUAACCGGCCUGAGAGGGUGACCGGUCACAUUGGGACUGAGAUACGGCCCAG
rnacentral:rRNA from 1 species